rnacentral:rRNA from 1 species
GUGGCGAACGGGUGAGUAACACGUGAGUAACCUGCCCUUGACUCUGGGAUAAGCGUUGGAAACGACGUCUAAUACCGGAUACGAGCUGGGACCGCAUGGUCACCAGCUGGAAAGAACUUCGGUCAAGGAUGGACUCGCGGCCUAUCAGCUAGUUGGUGAGGUAACGGCUCACCAAGGCGACGACGGGUAGCCGGCCUGAGAGGGUGACCGGCCACACUGGGACUGAGACACGGCCCAGACUCCUACGGGAGGCAGCAGUGGGGAAUAUUGCACAAUGGGCGCAAGCCUGAUGCAGCAACGCCGCGUGAGGGACGACGGCCUUCGGGUUGUAAACCUCUUUUAGCAGGGAAGAAGCGAAAGUGACGGUACCUGCAGAAAAAGCACCGGCUAACUACGUGCCAGCAGCCGCGGUAAUACGUAGGGUGCAAGCGUUGUCCGGAAUUAUUGGGCGUAAAGAGCCCGUAGGCGGUCUGUCGCGUCUGCUGUGAAAACCCGAGGCUCAACCUCGGGCCUGCAGUGGGUACGGGCAGACUAGAGUGCGGUAGGGGAGAUUGGAAUUCCUGGUGUAGCGGUGGAAUGCGCAGAUAUCAGGAGGAACACCGAUGGCGAAGGCAGAUCUCUGGGCCGUAACUGACGCUGAGGAGCGAAAGCGUGGGGAGCGAACAGGAUUAGAUACCCUGGUAGUCCAC